rnacentral:tRNA from 1 species
GCAUCCGUAGCUCAGCUGGAUAGAGCGCUGCCCUCCGAAGGCAGAGGUCAGGGGUUCGAAUCCCUUCGGAUGCACCA